rnacentral:rRNA from 1 species
CUGCGGAGGGAUCAUUACACAAAUAUGAAGGCGGGCUGGAACCUCUCGGGGUUACAGCCUUGCUGAAUUAUUCACCCUUGUCUUUUGCGUACUUCUUGUUUCCUUGGUGGGUUCGCCCACCACUAGGACAAACAUAAACCUUUUGUAAUUGCAAUCAGCGUCAGUAACAAAUUAAUAAUUACAACUUUCAACAACGGAUCUCUUGGUUCUGGCAUCGAUGAAGAACGCAGCGAAAUGCGAUAAGUAGUGUGAAUUGCAGAAUUCAGUGAAUCAUCGAAUCUUUGAACGCACAUUGCGCCCUUUGGUAUUCCAAAGGGCAUGCCUGUUCGAGCGUCAUUUGUACCCUCAAGCUUUGCUUGGUGUUGGGCGUCUUGUCUCUAGCUUUGCUGGAGACUCGCCUUAAAGUAAUUGGCAGCCGGCCUACUGGUUUCGGAGCGCAGCACAAGUCGCACUCUCUAUCAGCAAAGGUCUAGCAUCCAUUAAGCCUUUUUUUCAACUUUUGACCUCGGAUCAGGUAGGGAUACCCGCUGAACUUAAGCAUAUCAAUAAGCGGAGGAAAAGAAACCAACAGGGAUUGCCCUAGUAACGGCGAGUGAAGCGGCAACAGCUCAAUUUGAAAUCUGGCUCUUUUAGAGUCCGAGUUGUAAUUUUGCAGA